rnacentral:lncRNA from 1 species
CUGAAUUUUUAAUAAUUUAAUUGACAGAUGAAAAACAAUGAAAUUGUUACAGUAUACAUACACGACAUAAAGAGUAAAUAAAUCACAUGACUUGUGAACAAUUACCCUUUUCCCACUAUAAAAUCACAAAAAUGAAAUUCUAUUAUUGUUGACAUCAAGGAUUGAUGGACAGUCAAUGUUUCUACUAUAUACAUGUAUACCAAAGAUUUAAAAUAACACACACAAAUAUCACAAUUUUCUUUACAUUGCACUUUUCACUUCAUAAUAAUCAAAAUAACAUUACUUCUACUGUUAUUGCACAGAAAAUGGUGUAUUGCACAGUAGAUGUUUUCAUUUUAAAUUUCUUAGUAAAUGAGAAAAUGAUAAAUUAUGCACUGAUCACAAAGAAGUAAUGACCAAGUGAUGCACUAUUGGUAGUAUCCAUGACAUAUGAAUACUUAAAUUUUAAGAAGGAUGGCUAACUUUCUUUGAAUUACACAUAAAUCUACAUUUCAUGAUUAGCACUAGGCUGACUAAUAAACAUGUUUAACUUUAAAAAAUUGGAACACAUGCAUGAACCGGUCAUGUUUUUUAUACCAAAAAAGCACUAUAAAUAAAACCAACGUUUACAAAAAAAAUGCACUAUAAAUAAACCCAACGUUUACAAAAAAAAUGCACUAUAAAUAAAACCGGUCUCAAUUCAAAGCCAUCCAGCUGACAAUGAUAUGUUCCUACUUUUAAGAGACACAACCAAGAAUCAGUCAUUUGUCAGUAUCUAGAGGUCAAAAUAAUAAUGAAUAACAAAAACUUUAUACAUGCUACUAAUGGGCUG